UGGGGAAUAUUGGACAAUGGGCGAAAGCCUGAUCCAGCCAUGCCGCGUGUGUGAAGAAGGUCUUCGGAUUGUAAAGCACUUUAAGUUGGGAGGAAGGGCAUUAACCUAAUACGUUAGUGUUUUGACGUUACCGACAGAAUAAGCACCGGCUAACUCUGUGCCAGCAGCCGCGGCAAUACAGAGGGUGCAAGCGUUACUCGGAAUUACUGGGCGUAAAGCGCGCGUAGGUGGUUUGUUAAGUUGGAUGUGAAAUCCCCGGGCUCAACCUGGGAACUGCAUUCAAAACUGACUGACUAGAGUAUGGUAGAGGGUGGUGGAAUUUCCUGUGUAGCGGUGAAAUGCGUAGAUAUAGGAAGGAACACCAGUGGCGAAGGCGACCACCUGGACUAAUACUGACCCUGAGGUGCGAAAGCGUGGGGAGCAAACA
rnacentral:rRNA from 1 species